CUGCAAUGAACCCAACUACCCCAGAGACUAACUCUUUCACCUUCAACUCGUUUCUGUAGUCAGUGAAGAUUUGCACAUGUGCAGUUUUGAAUCAGCACUUUUGUUCCACCUCUGCAUUCCUUCAUUCUUGUCCGUUGGUUCUUCUGCUCCACUCAAGCCUUGUUGAUGGCUGUCAUAGCCACUUGGUACCUCUGCAGUGUUUUCAGUUUAAAGUAUGAAUUAUGAAAUUGUGAUUUGUAGGAAAUGUUGGAGGCUAACAGUAGGGCUGUAGGUCCAAAAAGACUGGAAACAAAUGUUCUAGCAGCUACUCCCCUUCAGCUGUAUCUUUUGGCACAGUUCGAUGUCAUCAGCAAAAUACAGUUUUCAUUGAGUCUUGUACAAGGGAUGCACAAAGCAUGCCAGAACACUGAAACCCAGAGGAACUCUCCAUCUCUUUAACCCUACUGUAGACAUUCCUGGUUCCUCCAGAUAGUUAGUUUAUUUGGAUUUAAUUAGUUGAAAAACACCUUUCAAUAAUCAUAAGCUUAAUCAAGUCCAUCUACUUGCUUUUGAGCAAGAGUCACUACAUAUGAUAUAAAAGGGUAUUACCAUAGCAAUCUGGACUCUCACCUUAACCUGUACUCCUGCUAAAAUGGGAACAAAGCCAAAGACAGUUCCAAAGGAGAGGGGUGGCUUUUGCUGGCCUCUUCCUUUCUUUUCUCCCACCUCUCAUCUCCCCUUUGCCCUCCAGCUCCAAAUACUUUUUGGUUUAAUUGAUCUGCUUCUGCAUUUAGGAAGAAGACAAUAUUGGAUGUUUCUCUUUUAAAUCUGGGGAAGUGGAGUUUGCUCAUUACCUAACCUUUAUUUGCAGCCCUAGUCAGCAGGCAGGCUGGCCAGGAAGGUCAGGGAGGUCAGAAAGGAGAGAUGCAGAGAAUGAGGGACAGGAGCUUGUGAUCUUUUGACAGAAGGGAAGGAUCAGGCAUGGAAUCAAAACAGAGGAGUAGGAGGGGGGUCUAAAGGUGAUGGGUAGCUGGUGGAGAUAGAGGGAUAGGAGCUGCAUAGGCAACAGGCAAAGAUGAAGUCCUUCAAAGAGGCUGGCAAAAAUCGAGCAAUCUCAGACAUGACUAAUUCUGCACUCUGCAAGAGUGAAACUCUUCCUUCCUGUCAUUUCUGUGACAGACACUCCCCAAGGCCCCCACUGCUGCUAGAGCUCCAUUAUCUGAGGCAUUGUACCUCACACUGGUGAUGUGCUCUCUGCCACAAGGACCUUACAGUUUAGCAUGACCCAAAACGCAACAAAGGAGUGUAACAAAAUAUUGCACAGGACCAGGAGAGGAAGGACAUCUGGAGCCUUGGAAGCCUACAUUGCAUUUAUGUUUUGUAAUGUCACGGUUAUAGUCAGAAGUAAAUAACAUACAGGUAAUGUACACACAUAGCAGCAACCCACCCUCCAUCUCAGGCAUUUCCACUGUCUUUUUUCUCCCAGUCAAGAAUGAGGAAAUCCCAAGUACCCAAUUCAACCUCUUGUCCAAGGGCCUGUUGGUGGUGGUAGUUAGGGCAGAAGGCUAACACAGGCACAGCUGAAGCACAGCAUGUGCUGCUAGAGGUCACAGCCUUUGACUUGCAGCAUUCUGCGAGAGCAGCAGUAAGGAGCAGCUGGGCACGUACAAGCUCUGCUCUGACUCAGCCUGGAACAGCCCAUCUCUGUCCCUUGGUCUGCCCUGCAUCCCACUGUCACUGCUCUUUGCAAGUGAGCUGGCUGCAGAAGUUACUUUUCAGCUGGACCAGUUCCCAGGGAAGGCAAAAGAAUACAAAUUUCUGCCAGCCAGUGUGGGAAGAGUGUCAGGGGCAGGCAGGGGGGCAGCAGGGCUUGGAGAAGCUGCUGGAGACAUUCUGCUCCAGAGGCACAGGACUGGCCUCAGCUGUGCUUGUGCGAAGCAGGUUGUUUUACUAAACUGCAUUUUCAGAUGCCUAAAAUGGAUUUUGGUACUCAAGCUGGACACCUUAGGUUUCAUUUUCCUAGUUCACCUCCACCAGAGUGAGGAGGCCCUGUUUCCCAGACAUGCAAUCCCAUCAUCUCUCUUUUGUCAGCCCUGCUACCUGUGAAUGAAUGAAGCCCUUCAGUCACCAGUGUUGGUCACUAACCAAGCAGAAACGUGACCCUGAAAGAAACAGCUGCUUGGUUUUUUGCUGUGUCAUUGCAUUGUACCAGCUCACAGGCAAAUCAAAUAAACUCCAGAGCCACCACAGAUGAGGGGGCAGGCUCUUUGGCUGGGAAGAAGUUUGAGUUAGAGAAGGAAAAGAAGGAACAAGACUUCCCCCUUAUGGCAAGAUCAAGCCACUGGAUAUGCUUAGGUGCUCACAGAUGCAGCUUGAGAGGUCAAUUUACACGUGUUAAACCAGGAAUACACAAACUCUGCAGCAGCUGGAAGUGCUGCAGUUUGCUGCAAUCCCUAAAUUCACUCCUAUUUUAUAUAAACAUGAUCCUGGUUCCACAUCUCUUAUUUGUGUAGAAAUACUCAUUAAAGAAGUUUUAGUAAAAAAAAUUGGAGAAAAAUCAGUUCUCAGCCUGCAGGCUUCUGCACUUUGAGGAAACAAGUACCUUUUGAAGAUGUAUUGAGGUACGUCCCCUAAUUAUCAUGUGUACAUAGUAUAGCAAAACUUAUUAUAAAGAGAAUGCAACUUUAAACCACACAAGUGUAAAUUUCCCAUGAGUUCCUAAUGCAGAGCAGUACCAGAGGUUUAAAUCAGCUUUUUCAAUGUCCCUCACCUCUGCCAGUUCCUGGGAUGAAGUGUGCCCUACCUGCCUUAAGACAGGGAAGAUGUUCAUCCUUGCUGAGCUCCCUCUCACCACACACUGGAAAAAAAGUUCAAAUAGACUGAUGUGUUUCUUUCCUCAUGCCAGGCCUGCAUCACUUCUAACUGCUCAUCCCUCCAGCAUGGGCUUUGUCCUCACUUAACAGAGUGAGUUAUGACAUGGCCUGGAGCUAUCCACAAAGAUUGCAAUAACUCCUCUCUCUAUUGUUGGCCUGAUUUUCAAGAGGCUUGGGCAUUCCUACUCCUUCAAGGAGCAGAAGGGCCUGAGGAUACCAUCACCUCUGGAAAUCAAACCAUUAGGGACAAGAAGAGGAUGUGAAGGAAGGCAUGGGGGCUUGCAGGAAAGCAUUGCUUCCAUUCAAGGAGCACAUCAGGGAGAAGCUGCCACAGUCAAGGGGAGAGAGCAAGUAAUCUAACAGAACUUUCUUACAGGCUAAAAACCCCAUGAAAGCCUGGAUGGCUGCACACCAGAUCUCUGAGAGCAAUGACAAAUCACAUUAUGGUUGAGGCGUGUAAAAUCGUUCUGUCAAAGCAGCGGCUCCCGGCGUGGCCGAUUUGACUGAGUGAGACAGGCAUUGUUAGUGCUGCUGCCUGCUUCAGGAAUGGCCUGGAUGAGACAAAGGGAAACAUUUGCACCUUGAAUGGACUUUCAUCCAUCAGACUUCCACUAGGAAAUUGGAGAAGUGGUACCAAUGAUUCAUCUGUGGUAUUGAUUGUAGAUGCUGGCUGGGAAAGAGAAUGAAAAUAAGAAAUUAAAACUAAUGACUGUACCA